AGAAAGAGACAGACACAGAGAGGAGAAAGAGACAGAGAGAAUCGGUGUUGGGGGGGAGGGGUUAUUUGGGGAGGGAAGCAGUACUCCAAUCUGUAAAUCUCUAGCCACUCCCGAGUCUUUUGCUAGUCUCCAUUUGCAGGAUUCCAGUUUGCUGGCUGUUAAUUUCACCCUAGGAAACAUUCCCCAGACAAUGAAAGAGAGCAGGGGCCAAUCAAUUUCAUCGCUGCCGCCAUAAAUUCCACAAGCCACAGCUUCUCUUUCCUUGUUUCCUGCCUAAUUGCUGACCACUGAGGGGGAAGAAGCUCAUUUCAUUUGCCAGACCUCCAGGGAAAUGACUCCUGGAGCAAUAAGUGACUUGUCCAAAGUCAUACAAUUAGUUAAUAUAAAACUAGGAAAUGAAAUUGCAUCUCUUAUUUCAUGCGCUGUCACACUGGCCAGAUAUCUAAGACCAAAACUAUAUCCACUAAAUUCAAUGGGAAGGUAAAUUAUACAAAAUAUAGCACAGUGAGAAGAGAACUGAAUUUGGAGUCUGAAGAUCUCAGUUCAAAUCCCAGAUGAAUAAAUACAUGCUGUGUGACUUUGGAUAAGUCUAUGUAUCUCAGUUUGCACAUCUGUAAAUUGUAUGACUUUUGUCAAAGUAAAAUGAAGUACUUUUUAACUUUAAAUCCAUUAUCCUAUGAUGAUUCAAAAACUAUACUAUUUCAGAAAUUCCCUGAUCAUGCUUUACUUCACUAUUUUAUUCCCUCUUCUGCUACCUCCUUUAUAAUCUUUCACAAAAUUCUCUAUUUCUCCCCUGGACUAAUUCUAAAGCAAUGAUCAAAUUAAUUCUGCAAUUGUUCCUGGACAUGUCAAUCUACAUCCCAGAAAAACAAGAAAGGGCCAGGAUAUGAAGUUUUUCAUUUCAUUCAGUUAUUGAAAGUCUCCAAGAACUUUGAGUAGGUUCACUAAGAAAAAAUUAUGAGAAAGCAUGAACAGGAAGGUGAGUAAAGUAGAAGUAGAGACACAUGAAACCAUAGACACAAAUUAAGUCUCACUUCAGUACUUUUUCCAUCUUGACUCUGGUGCUGUGAUCCCUUCUCUGAGAAACUUAUAACUUUAUAAAGACAUAAAACUUCCAAUAUAAUGUGUAAAUGCUGCCACAGCAGUGAAAUUCUGUUUUAUCUUUGUAUCAACCAAUCUUCAUCAGAGUGCUUGAUUUAACAGAGGCACUUAAGAAAUGUUUGAACUGACACAAAUAAACUUGAGAGUAAUACUAGGUGUAUGUAAGCAUGAGCUUGAUUAAAUAUAAUCUCAUGGGAGAAACUUAAAUGCUCAGGACCAAAAGGAAAGUGGUUGAUUUAAGUAUUUGAGUCAUAAAAAGCCUUCAGAAAUGUUAUGCCAAAGUUCCCUUUUAAUGUUGUGACCCAGUUUCUCCAAUUGUCCUAUUUAGUUAGGUUAUAACCUUUCCCUCUUAAUGUUUGAGAUAAAGGUUGUAUAGAUAUUCCUUCUUAAUGUUUGACAAGAUAAAACUUUAUCCAUUUUAGAUGUCAUUAGAAUAUCAGUAACCUCCCUCCAUUAUGUUAUCCCCACCUAGGUACCUCCACUAUGUCAUUAUUCUUGUUAUUCUAUAAAAAGCUUGCUGUCCUGAUAUUUGGGGCUAGACUCUUUGAGAUGAUAGUCUCGUCUAGCCCUAGAAUCAAACAUGGAUCCAUUGGUCCCAGUAUUUUUCUCCAUUUAAUAAACUAUUGAAUUGGUCUUUAAUCUCUGUCUUGCUCAGUUUCUUCGGCAUUACAGAAACAGAGAUAAGAC